CUUUCCUUUCUUUUUUAUUCGUCUGUUUUCUGUUUCUUUUUUUAGCUAUUUUGUUUCUAUUUCUCCUUUUCUAUUUUUUAUUUAAUUAGUUUAAUAUAAUAACAAUAAAAUAAUAAAAUAAUAUUAUUUACUUAAAUGAUAAGAAAUAUGUAAUAAUUACUAAUAUAUGUAUUUCAUUUUUCCACAUGUCAUCAUAUGCACCAUACAUUUGUCAACUUUUUAUUUAUUUAAAA
rnacentral:lncRNA from 1 species